rnacentral:rRNA from 1 species
UACGAAGGGGGCUAGCGUUGCUCGGAAUCACUGGGCGUAAAGGGCGCGUAGGCGGCCAUUCAAGUCGGAGGUGAAAGCCCAGGGCUCAACCCUGGAAUUGCCUUCGAUACUAUCUGGCUAGAGACCGGAAGAGGUAAGUGGAACUGCGAGUGUAGAGGUGAAAUUCGUAGAUAUUCGGAAGAACACCAGUGGCGAAGGCGGCUCACUGGUCCGGUACUGACGCUGAGGUGCGAAAGCGUGGGGAGCAAACAGG